AACGAACGCUGGCGGCAUGCCUAACACAUGCAAGUCGAACGAUGCCUUCGGGCAUAGUGGCGCACGGGUGCGUAACGCGUGGGAAUCUGCCUUUCGGUUCGGAAUAACUCAGGGAAACUUGGGCUAAUACCGGAUAACGUCGCAAGACCAAAGAUUUAUCACCGAAAGAUGAGCCCGCGUAGGAUUAGCUAGUUGGUGAGGUAAAGGCUCACCAAGGCGACGAUCCUUAGCUGGUCUGAGAGGAUGAUCAGCCACACUGGGACUGAGACACGGCCCAGACUCCUACGGGAGGCAGCAGUGGGGAAUAUUGGACAAUGGGCGAAAGCCUGAUCCAGCAAUGCCGCGUGAGUGAUGAAGGCCUUAGGGUUGUAAAGCUCUUUUACCCGGGAAGAUAAUGACGGUACCGGGAGAAUAAGCCCCGGCUAACUCCGUG
rnacentral:rRNA from 1 species